GGUCCGGUGGCCAAGGCGAUAAUGGCGCUGAUCUCACACGGCAAAACCGUGGUUCAAAUCCCAUCCGGACCG
rnacentral:tRNA from 1 species